rnacentral:rRNA from 1 species
UCGAACGAAGUAGCAAUACUUAGUGGCAGACGGGUGAGUAACAUGUAGGUAUCUGCCCUUUGGCCUGGAAUAACACGAGGAAACUUGUGCUAAUACCGGAUAAGUCUUUACGGAGAAAGCUUUAUGCACCAUUGGAUGAGCCUGCACUUGAUUAGUUUGUUGGUGGGGUAAUGGCCUACCAAGACUAUGAUCAAUAGCUGAUUUGAGAGGAUGAUCAGCCACAUUGGGACUGAGACACGGCCCAAACUCCUACGGGAGGCAGCAGUGGGGAAUCUUGCACAAUGGAGGAAACUCUGAUGCAGCGAUGCCGCGUGAGUGAAGAAGGCCCUUGGGGUUGUAAAGCUCUUUCGUCGGGGAAGAAGAUGACUGUACCCGAAUAAGAAGGUCCGGCUAACUUCGUGCCAGCAGCCGCGGUAAUACGAAGGGACCUAGCGUAGUUCGGAAUUACUGGGCUUAAAGAGU